rnacentral:rRNA from 1 species
AGCGAACGCUGGCGGCAGGCUUAACACAUGCAAGUCGAGCGGGCACUUUCGGGUGUCAGCGGCGGACGGGUGAGUAACGCGUGGGAACGUGCCCUCUGGUUCGGAAUAACUCAGGGAAACUUGAGCUAAUACCGGAUACGCCCUUUUGGGGAAAGGCUUGCUGCCGGAGGAUCGGCCCGCGUCUGAUUAGCUAGUUGGUGAGGUAACGGCUCACCAAGGCGACGAUCAGUAGCUGGUCUGAGAGGAUGAUCAGCCACACUGGGACUGAGACACGGCCCAGACUCCUACGGGAGGCAGCAGUGGGGAAUAUUGGACAAUGGGCGCAAGCCUGAUCCAGCCAUGCCGCGUGAGUGAUGAAGGCCUUAGGGUUGUAAAGCUCUUUUAUCCGGGACGAUAAUGACGGUACCGGAGGAAUAAGCCCCGGCUAACGUCGUG